UACGAGGGGUGCAAGCGUUGCUCGGAAUUAUUGGGCGUAAAGAGCUCGUAGGCGGUGUGUCGCGUCGGCCGUGAAAACCUGCAGCUUAACUGUGGGCUUGCGGUCGAUACGGGCAUCACUGGAGUUCGGCAGGGAGACUGGAAUUCCUGGUGUAGCGGUGAAUGCGCAGAUAUCAGGAGGAACACCGGUGGCGAAGGCGGGUCUCUGGGCCGGAUACUGACGCUGAGGAGCGAAAGCGUGGG
rnacentral:rRNA from 1 species